rnacentral:rRNA from 1 species
GACGAACGCUGGCGGCGUGCCUAACACAUGCAAGUCGGAUGUGCCCGCAAGGGUGCAUGGCAGACGGGUGAGUAACGCGUAGGGAACCUACCUCUUUGUGGGGAAUAACGUUCCGAAAGGAAUGGUAAUACCGCAUGAGACCAUGGGCUGGAAUGCCGAUGGUGAAAGCCGGGGAUCGAAAGACCUGGCGCAAGGAGAGGGUCCUGCGUCUGAUUAGCUAGUUGGUGGGGUAACGGCCUACCAAGGCGACGAUCAGUAGCCGGCCUGAGAGGGUGAUCGGCCACACUGGAACUGAGACACGGUCCAGACUCCUACGGGAGGCAGCAGUGGGGAAUUUUGCGCAAUGGACGAAAGUCUGACGCAGCAACGCCGCGUGGGUGAUGAAGGUCUUCGGAUUGUAAAGCUCUGUCGGGUGGGAAGAAACGUAUGGAGGUUAAUAGCCUUUAUACUUGACGGUACCACCAAAGGAAGCACCGGCUAACUCCGUGCCAGCAGCCGCAGUAAAAC